rnacentral:rRNA from 1 species
CCUACGGGAGGCAGCAGUGGGGAAUUUUGGACAAUGGGCGCAAGCCUGAUCCAGCAAUGCCGCGUGAGUGAAGAAGGCCUUCGGGUUGUAAAGCUCUUUUGUCAGGGAAGAAACGGCUGAGGCGAAUACCUUUGGCUAAUGACGGUACCUGAAGAAUAAGCACCGGCUAACUACGUGCCAGCAGCCGCGGUAAUACGUAGGGUGCAAGCGUUAAUCGGAAUUACUGGGCGUAAAGCGUGCGCAGGCGGUUUUGUAAGUCUGACGUGAAAUCCCCGGGCUCAACCUGGGAAUUGCGUUGGAGACUGCAAGGCUGGAGUCUGGCAGAGGGGGGUAGAAUUCCACGUGUAGCAGUGAAAUGCGUAGAGAUGUGGAGGAACACCGAUGGCGAAGGCAGCCCCCUGGGUCAAGACUGACGCUCAUGCACGAAAGCGUGGGGAGCAAACAGGAUUAGAUACCCUGGUAGUCCACGCCCUAAACGAUGUCUACUAGUUGUCGGGUCUUAAUUGACUUGGUAACGCAGCUAACGCGUGAAGUAGACCGCCUGGGGAGUACGGUCGCAAGNUUAAAACUCAAAUGAAUUGACCGG